rnacentral:lncRNA from 1 species
CUUCCCCAGCAGGCGCCCUGGAACACGCGCGCCCAGCGUGCCCAGCUCCCGAGGGCCCGGCUCACGGUCACACUGCGUGCUCGUGGGCGCUACUCUGGGAUCCCAAAGUCUUGCUCUGCCUCUCUAGAGCCCAAAGCAACGUUAAAACAAAGAGAAAAAUACUGCACGAGGAUCCAGACUGUAUUCAGAGCAGAUGAGGCUCAGAGAGGCAGCCCGUUCCGAGAUCCACUUCCUACACACCAGGUCUCACCGCCGAAGCAGGAUAGCAAAAGCCGAGCCAGACCCCAAGCCCUCGUCCUCCACGUACAGAGUGUGCCUUUGUUCAGUCUACAGUGUUGCUGCUGCGUGUCUCUGAAACUAUUUUCCAUAGAUUCGCCUUGUAAUCUUUCUAAAACCAAAACAAGGACAGACUGCAGAAAGGAAACCAUGCCCUGAUGUGCCUAUGAGCUUAUCUUCCGGAUCGAACUCAGACCUUGCCCUUGUGAGACAGGUGCGGUGCCACUGAGCUAAAUCACCUGCAGUAUUUCAUUGUUUAAAUCUAUUAGCCCUGUGUGGUGGUGCACACCUGUAACCCCAGAACUCGAGAGGCUGAGGCAGGAGGGUCACCUCCAGUUUGAGGCCAGCCUGGGCUACAUAAUGAGUUCAAGGACAGCCGAGACAACAUACCAAGACCCUAUCCCAAUAGUAAAUAAAUAAUAAAUAAGUAAAAUCCAUGAUUGCUGCUGUCAGGAUGGAUGAAAGUUUAAAUGAAAUGAUGUAUCUUAGCACGCUCUCCUCGGGGCAUAGCCUCCUCUUUGUAGUGUGUCCUUGAUUUGGCUUCAGGAAAAGAUCACAAGGGGAAUGGAUGGGAAAUAUCUGAGAAGCAGCAGCUAAGAUAGCGCCAGGAGCAAACCUGGCAACUGGUACAGCAG